UCGUGGUUGGUUUUGCAAUAGAAACAAACCAGGUGUGUACUUCGACUGCACAGAAAACGAGUUUUGACGAAAGCCGAAAAACCAGUUUGUUGACACCACACGGGUGUGCGGUCUGCCCGUGUGGUAGCUUGCGUCGUGAGACACGGGCGUGUGACAGACGAGUCAGGCUGUGCGCGUGCCACACGGGUGCGACAGACACGGGCGUGUGAGGCUGGCAAGGCUUUGCGAGGCACGAGCUCAACCAUUUGGCCCGUGUAGGCCGCACAGGCG
rnacentral:lncRNA from 1 species